GGGAGCAUGGCUCAGUAGGUAAAGCGCUUACCUUACAAACAUGUGAACCUGAGAUCAACUCAGGGCACCCA
rfam:Mesocricetus auratus contig005462, whole genome shotgun sequence.